rnacentral:rRNA from 1 species
AUACAGAGGGUGCGAGCGUUAAUCGGAAUUACUGGGCGUAAAGCGCGCGUAGGCGGUCUAUUAAGUCAGAUGUGAAAUCCCAGGGCUCAACCUUGGAACUGCAUCUGAUACUGGUAGACUAGAGUUUUGGGGAGGGAAGUAGAAUUUCAGGUGUAGCGGUGAAAUGCAUAGAGAUCUGAAGGAAUACCAGUGGCGAAGGCGACUUCCUGGCCAAAAACUGACGCUGAGGUGCGAAAGCGUGGGUAGCAAACGGGAUUAGAAACCCCGGUAGUCC